GAUGAACGCUGGCGGCGUGCCUAAUACAUGCAAGUCGAGCGAACAGACGAGGAGCUUGCUCCUCUGAUGUUAGCGGCGGACGGGUGAGUAACACGUGGAUAACCUACCUAUAAGACUGGGAUAACUUCGGGAAACCGGAGCUAAUACCGGAUAACAUGUUGAACCGCAUGGUUCAACAGUAAAAGACGGUCUUGCUGUCACUUAUAGAUGGAUCCGCGCCGCAUUAGCUAGUUGGUAAGGUAACGGCUUACCAAGGCAACGAUGCGUAGCCGACCUGAGAGGGUGAUCGGCCACACUGGAGCUGGGACACGGUCCAGACUACUACGGGAGGCAGCAGUAGGGAAUCUUCCGCAAUGGGCGAAAGCCUGACGGAGCAACGCCGCGUGAGUGAAGAAGGUCCUCGGAUCGUAAAACCCUGUUAUUAGGGAAGAACAAAUGUGUCAGUAACUAUGCACGUCUUGACGGUACCUAAUCAGAAAGCCACGGCUAACUACGUG
rnacentral:rRNA from 1 species